AGCUCCAAUAGCGUAUAUUAAAGUUGUUGCGGUUAAAAAGCUCGUAGUUGGAUUUCUGCUGAGGACGACCGGUCCGCCCUCUGGGUGAGUAUCUGGCUUGGCCUUGGCAUCUUCUUGGAGAACGUAGCUGCACUUGACUGUGUGGUGCGGUAUCCACGACUUUUACUUUGAGGAAAUUAGAGUGUUUCAAGCAGGCAUACGCCUUGAAUACAUUAGCAUGGAAUAAUAAGAUAGGACCUUGGUUCUAUUUUGUUGGUUUCUAAAGCUGAGGUAAUGAUUAAUAGGGAUAAUUGGGGGCAUUCGUAUUUAACUGUCAGAGGUGAAAUUCUUGGAUUUGUUAAAGACGGACUACCGCGAAAGCAUUUGCCAAGGAUGUUUUCAUUG
rnacentral:rRNA from 1 species